rnacentral:lncRNA from 10 species
AUCAUCACCCAAGCUUGAGAUCACAAAGUUCAUCUCCACGUGGACCUCCCUAUAGAGCUUCUUGAAUGGCCUCACAACAUGGCGGCUGGCUUCCCACAGAGUGAGCAAUCCAAGAUUUCCUUGAUUCAGAGAAAGAAGAUAAAAACACAUACAAAGAGACGGCACCAGCUCCUUUCCCAGUUGUGACCAGAUUGCACGAUACCCAAGCCAUGGCUCCAAAGAGUGCGUGUACUGAAGCCUGGCCAUUCAUGACAGACUCAUUUCCACACCUGAGUCCGGUUUUGCUCUGUGAGUGUUGGGCUUUCUCCAAGGGAAUGGUUGGAGCUGUUGCGAGCGAACUUCCUGGCUGCCACAGAGUUGAUUGGAUUCCUUGGAAAUGCACACUCACAGGCUGCUGCUCUUUGAAGCUGUCUCCUUCACUGGCCAUGAUUCUCCUGUCUCAUUAGCUGUUGCCUAUGACCCUGGUGUCGUUUUCUCCUUUUACUCAUCAACACCCAAAUCCACAGGGUUGUGAUGGAUUAGCAGCCUUUCUUAUUAGCAAGAAGCCCUGUGGCCUCAAGAGGCAAAAUGAAUCGUGGUUAGAAAUCUCCAUCUCCUCCCUCCCUUGGUAUAAUGCCAUCAUUUAACUAUCUGAAAAUAGAGAAGACUCCGUUCCAAUUGUAAAGCCCUAAGGAGAAAAACUGAGUUUGAAACUUUCCUUAAUUAUGCUGAUAUUUAACAAUAAACUUUGUAGUAUGAAAAUCUCAUCUCACUGUCCAGUAUAUUCUUUCACUUUCUUUUUAAAUCAAGAGAAAAAUGUGUUUGAACUUUCUUGAGUUAUGCCAGGG